rnacentral:rRNA from 1 species
UACGAAGGGGGCUAGCGUUGUUCGGAAUUACUGGGCGUAAAGCGCACGCAGGCGGCUCGAUAAAUUAGAAGUGAAAGCCCCGGGCUUAACCUGGGAAUUGCUUUUAAGACUGUCGGGCUAGAAUCCAGAAGAGGGUAGUGGAAUUCCGAGUGUAGAGGUGAAAUUCGUAGAUAUCAGGAGGAACACCUGUGGCGAAAGCGGCUCACUGGACCAUAACUGACGCUGAUGCACGAAAGCUAGGGGAGCAAACAGG